rnacentral:piRNA from 1 species
UGAAGAAUUAUGUACAAAAAU